UGCUGGUGCCCCCUUCCCCAUCCCGCCGCCGCACAAAGCCAGCCAGCGUCGCCUACCCCCAGAUCUCACUGGGCGAGGGUGUAGGCGGAGCCUGACCCCCAGCUCCCAGACCUCUGCUACAAGACGACGAGGGGCGGCCGCCAACCCCUCUGUUCGGCACCGGCCCCAGGCCCUCUUCCACCGUCGCCCCACAAGCGCUGCAGCCUUCGUCCAUGGCGAUCUUGGAAGAAAUUUCGGCCAACCGUUAUGCUGCUGAAAUAUUGGUGUGACAAAAGGAGAUGAGGUAUGAAGAAUCCAUCUUGUGAACAGGCAAUUUCUUCUUCCUUGAUCCCGUUCCACAAGGAAGCCAAUAAAGAAAUGGGAGGCGAGACGCAGCCACUGGCGGCCGCAGCAGUCACCGUAUCCAAGGUGCUCGACGAUGACGACCUCCUCAUCGAAAUCCUUCUCCGCGUCGGUUUCCCCACCACCCUUGUCUGCGCUGCCCUCGUCUGCAAGCGCUGGCUAGGGCACGCCUCCGACCGUGCCUUCCUUCGCCGUUUCCGCAAGCUCCACCCGCCCCGCCUCCUCGGCUUCUACAUUGACGACUUUGGUCUUCCGCCUGGCUUGACAUUGGUGUUCGUCCCAGUGCUGCCUCAGCCCCCAGAGCUUGCUGUCGUUGUCCGCCGUGCGAGGUUCAAAUUGAAAACCAACAAUGCCAGGUCUGCCACAAUCAGGGACUGCCAGAACGGCAGUGUCUUCUUCACCUUGUACAACGGCAGAAGCAGAAAGUCAACCAGAGUGCACUGCCCAUUGUGCCCCGAGAGAGGUCCAGCCAUCCUCCCACAACUCCCACGCCCUGGACUCGGGAGUAACUGCACUUUCAAACAAGUUCUUUCCAAAGAAGAAGGGGAUGGCAUGUCCUACUACUACUUGUAUGUGGAGUCUGCCAGGCGCGCAGAAACAGAAUCUAUGCUACACGUAUAUAUGUUGCAAGAUGGUUCCCGAUGGACGCAUCAUCUCUUGGACAUAGACAACCUCCCUGAACCACGAUGGGAACCAAAAGCUGUGCUUGUUGAUAAUAAAAUCUACAUGGCGGCUGCCGAGACUGCCAUUAUUGUUUUGGAUUUGUCGGACUUGAGUCUCUCUACAAUUCAGCUUCCGCAAGGUGUGGAGCAUGGCGUCAUUGGCACCACUAUGUUGGCACGUGCUCAUGAUGCUUCUGGUGUAUAUCUCAUCCAUGUUGAGGAGUUUCAACUUCGCAUCUGGCUCCACAAGGGGGGAAACUGGUCAUUGGUUGAUACCAUUUUUUUGCAUGAGAUGUGUGCUAACUUGAGGAAUUCAUGUUGCACAAUCGAGGAUGAGGAUAGACUUCUUCCACUGAACCAGGUGGUGGACUAUGGUGACUUUGUGUUUUUGAAGAUGGGUGGAUGCGCACUCCAGUUGGACAUCAAGUGCAGGACACUGCGUAAGGUGUAUGAAGCAAAAAACGGCCAUUUGGGUUUUAAUAUCCAUCCUUUUAUGAUGAUCUGGCCUCCCACAUUCCCAACGCUCAAGUAUGAUCCUGCAAGAAAUGCAAUGUGGAGAAGAAAUAUACCAGGAAGCUCAUGGAUGGCACCUACGCCAAGAGUGACCAGGGCGGCAUCAAGGAAGAGCAGUAGUUGACUGCAUUUCCUCUAAAAUGCAACUUGAAGAAGAAAGAUACAAGGAAGCUCAUGCAACGUCGGGAAUGACAUGGGUGGCAUCAAAGCAAGGAGAGGCCCCUGGUAUAUGCAGCAGUAAGCUCUGGCAAAUGCAUCGGUCAUUACUAGCGAGGGGUAAGAGAACAGAGUGUUGAUGAACUGAAGUCGGUAGAAAAAUUAAUAAUCUGAGACAUAGAUGCAUCUAGCAUCCGGAGUUCCGGACUAAAGGAAGCUGCUCACAGUCGUAGGUGUUGAUGCUGACGCAGAAAACAAGUUUAAGGGUGCUGAGUGUAAGUUGUCCUUCCUGCAAGCACACAAGUUUAAGCUGGCAUUGGGGACUCUGGAAGACAAAUUAAAGGGCUGAGAGCCUGAGAUAUAGAAAUAAUGAUAAAAGCAAAUGAGUUAACAGUAAUUCAGUACUUGGAAGAGUCUGAUUUUUUUCCAUAUUAGUAUUAGCAUGCUUUGCUCAAAGUGGAAGAAAAGGCUGUUUAAGUUGUCACAACAAUCUGUUUCGCCCUAUUGCACAUUGUAAAUUGUCAACGUUCUGUUGCGUACUGUAUGCUAAACACUUUUCUUGUUUCAGCGUAUC